rnacentral:rRNA from 1 species
UACGUAGGGUGCAAGCGUUGUCCGGAAUUAUUGGGCGUAAAGAGCUCGUAGGCGGUUCGUCGCGUCGGCUGUGAAAACCCGGAGCUCAACUCCGGGCCUGCAGUCGAUACGAGCAAACUAGAGUGUUGCAGGGGAGACUGGAAUUCCUGGUGUAGCGGUGAAAUGCGCAGAUAUCAGGAGGAACACCGGUGGCGAAGGCGGGUCUCUGGGCAACAACUGACGCUGAGGAGCGAAAGCGUGGGGAGCGAACGGG